UGGGGAAUAUUGGACAAUGGGCGCAAGCCUGAUCCAGCAAUGCCGCGUGAGUGAUGAAGGCCUUAGGGUUGUAAAGCUCUUUUACCAGGGAUGAUAAUGACAGUACCUGGAGAAUAAGCUCCGGCUAACUCCGUGCCAGCAGCCGCGGUAAUACGGAGGGAGCUAGCGUUGUUCGGAAUUACUGGGCGUAAAGCGCACGUAGGCGGACCAGUCAGUCAGAGGUGAAAUCCCGGGGCUCAACCUCGGAACUGCCUUUGAUACUGCUGGUCUCGAGUCCGAGAGAGGUGAGUGGAAUUCCAGGUGUAGAGGUGAAAUUCGUAGAUAUUCGGAGGAACACCAGUGGCGAAGGCGGCUCACUGGCUCGGUACUGACGCUGAGGUGCGAAAGCGUGGGGAGCAAACAGGAUUAGAUACCCCUGUAGUCC
rnacentral:rRNA from 1 species